rnacentral:lncRNA from 1 species
UCGGCCGCCUCUGGGUCCCGCUUGAAAUUCUGUAGAAGCCUGAAAGCUCGCGGAGCGCGGACUCCGAGUGAGUUUGAGGAUGUGUGCGGCUGGUGGCUGCGCCGGGGCCCCCGCGGAGAAGGUGGGGGGCCCCGACACCCGCUUGCUUGGACCGUGCGCUAUGAGAAGAUGCUUCCCCUGACGGGAAUGGAGUACCAAUCACUGGCACUAUUGGAAAAACUGAUAGAAGGCUGUGGAUUACAGACAGAUGAGGAAACUGAGGCACUGAGGACUUCAGGAACUUGCCCACUGUUUCACAGCCAGGAAGAGGCAGAUUGCAGAUUUGGAGCCCAGAGAGUGCUGUUCUUAGUGUACACUGCCUCCUUGAUGCUGCUGGUCUCCCCCGGUGCCACCUCCAGCUUCGGGCUCCAGAACCUUCACGGUCAGGCUCUGGGUUCUGACCUUUUCCUGUCUUCAGCAACUAAAGAAUAAGAAGCAGGCAGAGACACAGAUGCUCCACGGCAGCCCUCCACGGACACCCAGCAAGCGGCGAGGUCUGGCACCCAGCACUCUGGGCAAAGUGCGCAAGGUUCUAAGCUCCCAGGAUUCCAUUAUCACUGAGAUGCUAAGAGUGAACAGAUGUAAAGUGUCAAAAGCUAAAUGAGAAAAAGAAGAGAACGGUCAUUCGGAGCCCCAGCAAGUAUCAUGGAACGCCCUGGGAUGUGCCCAGGAAACUAGAGUCACCGGAGGCUCACUUCAAAAGCUGGUCUUCAGUUGCGGCUGAGCAAAGUCCCGGCCUGCGGGUUCCAGCCCGUUGACACUGGAUCACGAAACACAAAUAGGUGUCAUUACUUCUACCAGUUUGAGGAGAAAAACACCCGCUGGUGUCAAGCCUGGAACCAAUGAGAAGAACCUGGAGCUCAUUGGCAGCAUCCUCAGUGAAGGAUCCGUCCCUCUCUGACAGCUCCACUGUUGGGCUUCAGGCACUGUUUGCACUACUGGAAGCAAAAGCACAGAGGAAUCAAUACCAUCUUCAACUGGUGGGACAGGUUUCCUUGCUGUGCUCCUCUGAUGGAUGUGCAAGAUCAAGGAAUAUUCGGCAGGAGGGCGAGAGGGAGAGAAGUCUCCCGGGGAGAUGGACAAGUCGACAGGAAGCUUCAUCGUGGGAGAGGCCAGCACAGGAAAUGAGAUCCUCCCACCAGAGAGAUGGAGCAGGUGCUGCAGGAACAGAGCUAGCUGGCGAUGCAGGUGGCAUCAGUAUUGUAUGCAGAUCUCAGGCAGCAGCGAGCAGUCCAACAGGGAACGGCUGGUAUUUCAAGACAGCACGCCAUCUGUUUGGGUGUGUGUGGAGGGUAAGGGUGUCAGUUACACACAGUAGCAGAGCCACCCUAAGUAGUGGGCGUUGCUCAGACGGGGAAUGGAAGUAA